UUAGAGCCUGAAAAUUAGAUUUUUUAAUUUUAAUGAAGGAUUUACAGUACUUGGGAUCAUAAUAAUCUAAUAAUCAAAUAUUAAAUAUCUAAUUUUUGACUAUUUUAUUCCUAAUUACUGAAAUAUAACUUUUCUGUACCACAUUGUAUAGUUUAAAUGCCACAAUUAUAAUUUUCAUAAAUAGAGUUGAUAUUUAAGGAAAAUAAAUCAAUGCUAUCUUUUUAGCAGCAAAAAUAUUCUAAUUAAAUUUAAAUUGAUAUACAUUUAUUUUAUUAUGGAUUGAAAAAAUUAUUCCAAAGAUAAACGAAAAUAAAGCAUUAUACCUAAUAGUGCAACAAGAUCCCACUAUAUCAAUAGCGGAAAAAAGUUUUGAGAAAAUUCACUUUUUUAUCCACGGUAGUAUUUGUUAUAAUUUCUACCUAUCAGAGAAUAAGAACUCUAGUUACUAGCUAGAAACUAGAAUAUAUCGUGUAUUUAUAAAUAUAUAGAGUUGAGUUAUUUCAUAUUUUAGAGAUAAAUUAUGUCGAGUGAUAAGAUUAAUGUAUUGGCGUCUUCUAAGUUUAGUUUUCUUUGUAAGCUCUGCAGUCUGUCCUAUACAAAGACUCAUUUUAAACAGAAGAAAAUAUCUUAAAACUCUGCUAGUAAGUUCCACUGUAAGCUCUGAAGAACCAAGCUCUCUAUUAUGGGAAACCUACUGGAACAUUCCCUUCUCGAUGUAUGGGAGGAGUUUUAUUCUUAGUUGUAGGUAUCUGACGAGGAGGAAUUGAGUUUAGACAAUGAAGUUUAGGAAGGAGGUUUAUCCCUGGCCUCCUUUCUUUCAGAUUCCAAAAAUAAGUAUGGGGCACUCGGCACUCACCUACUCCUAGGAAAAAAUGCCUUCAAAUCAGGGACCCUGGGUUGUAUUCAGAAGGAAAUCUUCCUUCAUUAGAAGAAACAUUGAAAGAUUUAAAUCCUUUAUGUGAUCUCUUCGGGGGUAAAGAAAUUAAUGGAAAUUCAGGAGGUUCAUCUGGAGGCUAUAAUGAAACGGAUAAAAACUGAAUAUUUAUGUUAAAGACCAUUCAAUUGCUAAGGGUCUCAGACCGGUAAGCUUUUUUUCUAUUUUCUAACAAACUUCAUUAUAUCUCCUCAAGCUAACAGUUUCGAUUCUCUAAUUGGUUUAAUGCUAUAAGGAGAAUGCUUACAUCAUAGUGAUAAGUUAUCCCCACAACAACCUAUUGAGUAAUGAUAAAAA
rnacentral:lncRNA from 1 species